GUUAAUAAGAUCAUAUAAGUAGAAAAUCUCGAUAACAAAUAUUUAUAUUAACAUCUAUAUCUAUUAUUAUAAAAGAGUUUUCUUCUCUCAUGUUGCGCCACCUAGGAUCCACGUCAGAAAGUAGUUUCUUGUGAACACGGCACGUGUCUCCCUUCACCGAAACUCUUCUUCUUUCUCCGACUUGGAAUUUUACCAGACGAAGGCGCAACGGUGUACUUACAUUCAAUUUAUGGCUUUUACGUUCUCAUUGACUCCAUCAAACCACGACUCCACUGACUCGCAUUCAAGAAGAAGAUCGUCUUCCUCGAAGCUUACGAAUCUGAACCUAUAUAUAUAGACUUCAGUGAAAUUUCAUCACUUUCUCAAUCUUGUUGACUUGAAGCCCGGCAGGCGGUUCCGUCAACGCUCUCUGAUUAUACAAUGUCCAUACGCCUCUGGUCUUCUCACACCUUGGUGUUUUCAUUCUUAUCUCUAUGAAAGAUUUAAGGUAUGAUCUUCUCUUAUUUUUUGAUCAAUCACCUAGAAUACUGAAAUUUGAUGUGUUUCACGAGAUGUAUGCUCAAGGGAGAUGAUUAUAUCCUACACGAGUCGCCCUCAAUUUAUAUGUGUUGAUGUUUUGAUUCAACUUUAGGCAUUUGAAGAAGCCAUCAUUGCGCUUCACACACUGGGAGAAAAUCCUACAAAGCCAACACUCUUAUUAUGCAGUUGUUGAGAGACAAUCUAACCCUCUGGACCUCUUCACAUCCUUUUUUUCCAGCACCUUGAUUCCCUACUUGACCUUCAAAGUCAUCUUUAAAGUUUUUUUCUACUUGCAGUUUCACUUUCUUCACUAUGAGAAUCUUGUCUUGAACCAUACGUGAUAUCAGUUCUCCAUCUACAAAAGAAAGAUGUGUUAGCUUGACAGUAUUCAAUUGGUUGAAAACUGUGAGUAACUUGAUCUUUUACGUUUUCUUCUUUCUAACAGUUUCUUUUGAUGACCAAAUGUGAUUACAUAAAAAUAAAUGUGAUUACAUAAGCAGUAUUAUUAUACAGCUCUUAGCUUUUGUUUCCAGCUCGGUGAGACAAUUGAUGAAACUUCUUGCAAACUUCUUGCACAUAUUGUUGUAUGCUGAUGUUAUCUUGAAUCGUUGGGUCUGCAGUCAGUGCAAGCACUUUCAGAUUUAUGAUAAGUUUUGUGAAAGGGGUUCUGAAGCUAAACAGAUGCAUGAAGACAUGAAAGACAUUCUGUUAAUUUCAAGGAUAUACAUGUAUUAUAAACCGACGUCCAAAAAUUGAGAACAAAUUUUGUAAUGCUCAGGUUUAAUUCUUAGAAUAUAAUAAUUUUGAUAAUUAGAGUUACACUUUUCGAAUGUAUGGUUUUAAAUAUAAACAAAAAUAGGUUAAAUUUAUA